rnacentral:lncRNA from 10 species
CUCAGCCAUGACCUAUGCUUGAACACAUAGAUUUCACCUCGAACACUAGCCGUUGCACAUUUAGUUAAUACUAGAUGCUAUAUUCUUUAUCUUCUUCUGCCAGGACACCAUCUUGUCUAGGAAUAAUAUUAUUCCCAAUUUAUAGAUGAGAAGACCUGGACUUACUUAGAGAGAUAACUAACAGGUUCAAAGUUUACAAUUCUAUGGUGGAAGAGCUAGGAUUUUAUCUAGGUCAUUGUAACUUAACCCAUAUAUUUUUUUUUCUCUCUCUCUCUCCCUUUCUUUUUGUCCUAGGGUGAAGAAGAGUGCUCACCAGAUUCCCUUCUGGUCUGGAAAAAGAAAUCCCUUCUUUUGUGGAUGUCAUCUCUACCAUCUCUCGGUGAAAAAUAUUUCAAGAGAAUCCUAAGAUGGAGAGAGCAUUGGAAGUCAUCCGGCCCAAUUCCCUUGUGCAAUUCAAAGCUUCUUUGUAAGAAAAAUGCCCCCAGAAGUUUGUUUGCAUCAUGAAGAUCAGAUUUUGAGGAUCCAGUCUGGCUCUUCCCUGUACAAAACAUUCCUCACAAACAGAAUAUGGACAAUUGUUAAAUGUCAAAGGUAAAGUUAUUGUGGGAACUCCUUCAAAAAGUUCAAGUGAGAGCCCAUUCUAUGAAUGACCAUUUACAUCUAAUUUUUUUCUGUGCUAUGUUACUUAUUCUGAAGUGGUUGAUCCAAUUCCUAAAAGGGAAUAUUUCAUUACCUUUUAUUUCCUAUAGCAUCCAUUCUGACCCCUUUUCGGUUUAAUUAUUCCCUGAUUCCAGUCUUCAUUCACUCAUUUAUUUGAGGAAUAUUUAUUGACCAACAACUAUGCCAGGUCCCAUUCUAUGUGUAGGGACUAUAAAGUUGAACAAGACAGAGGAGGUACUGGCCUCAGAAUUUACAUUCUAGUAGAUGAGAAAGUAAAAAUAAACACAUGAAAACAUGAAUGAACCGGAUAUUGUAGACUGUGAUAGGUGUAGUUUGGGUAAAGCACAGAGUGCAGUAGUAAAGAUAAACUGCACUCAGAGUGGGGCUAUUUUAGAUGGAAUGGAGAUCUCUGAGGAAAUGAAAUUUGAGCUGAGACCUAAAAGGUCACCCAAGGACUCAUGGGAAAACUCAGUUGUUUCUAUCAAAAUUUAGCUUCAUGAACUCCAGGCCCUUGCAAAUGAUGGUUACCAGGUGAGAAAUGUCUCACUGGCAACAGAGGUUGGCAGACCCAGCUCCAGUUCCAUCCCAGCCAACAUACCAAUGUCAUUAAAAUAAGGCCAUUCAUCAAGGUGGAGACUAUUACUAGAAACAAGCAUUCUAAAGUGCCAUUUGAGUGCCAGGCUCUCAACACUGGGCGUAGCACUGCUCCAUGAGGCUUUUGAGAGCAUAUACUGAGGCAUGACCAAAAAAAUUAAGUCCCAUGUAAGUGAUGCAACUGCUCCCCAAUUACUGUGGAAGUAUCUGCAGACUAACUAUUGUGCGUGUGUGUUUGUUUGCUUUAAUGAAUAAAUUCAGUCAACCAACCAUCUAGCUAUUGACUAAAUCCAUUCUUUUUCUUCCAAAAUGUCUAUUGGCUGAAGUUUACUGGUUUUUAUUUCUAUUCGCAUACGUAAUUUUCUAAACCCCAUUCUUAUGGAACCUUCUCUAAGUUCCUCUCUAUGGCCCUGUCCAUGUUCAUACGGAUACACAUAAAGACACAAAUACACCAAACUAAGUUUAGAGCAGUCUGGUGCCUGCCUAAGACUUCAGCCUCAUCUCCUGCUUCUACCCUCUUUAGUUUAGGAAAAACAGGUAACGUUGCUGAGUGCCAAGUAUUGUGUUAGUAGCUUUGCAUGCAUUUUUUCAUUUUAUCUUCACAAGUUUCUUCUAUCACCAUGAUCUGUAUGUUUGACCAUGGUGUUUCCUCCACCUGAAAUUCCCUUGGUGCUCUGCCUGGGGAACUGUUACUCAUUCUUCAAAUCUCAACGGAAUGAUCUCCUCCUCUGGAAAGCUCUCCCUACUUCCCUAGGAAGAAGUAAUCCCUUCCUCAGUUCUGCUUUGAUUAUAACUUUAUAAGCACCUAUCACUCUGCAUGGUAUUAGUUCACUGUCAUGUCCAUUUCCUCUAUUGGGAUGUAAAUUGCUUAUGGGUAAUAAUUAGGCUUUGAAUCAUUUUAUGAUCUGGCCUAAGACAGUGCUUGGCACAUACUAUAGGCUCAUCAGAUGAUGGCUGAGUAGAAUUAAAUUGAAUCAAGUUGAAGUUAUACUUUGAUGUUUAUCAAUUAACAUGUGUAGUGUGUUAAAUGGUGGUCACUGAAAACAUACGUCUGCACCCUAAUUCCUGGAACCUGUGAAUAUAACCUUACAUGUUAAGAAGAAAUAUGACCUUAAAUGGAUAUGGAGACAAGGAGCUUAUCCUGGAUUGUCUGAGAGGGCCCUAGAUGCAAUCGCAUGUAUUCUGAUAAGUGGAGAGAAACAGAAGAGGAGGAUGCAAUGUGACCAUGUAGGCAGAAGUUUGAAUGGUGCAGCCACAAGCCAAGGAGCCCCUGGGGCCAUCAGAAGCUGGAAGAAGCAAGGAAUGGAUUCCUUCCUAGUGUUUGGAAGGAGUGUGCACUUGCCAACACCUUGGUUUGAGACUUCUGGCCUCUGGAACUGUGACAGAAUAAAUAUCUGUUGUUUUGAGCCACCCAAUUGUUGCUAAUUUGUUAAAGCAACCUUAGAAAAUUAAUAUAGCAUCCACAAUAAAAUUUCUCAAAAUAUAUGUUCCUGUGAAAUGGAAGAGUUCUAGGGAUCUAGUAGCAUAUACGGAACCCAGAUAAGUUAUACAAGUUUUUCCCUGAAAGUCUUUUCAGAUUCUUUAGCGGGCUAAGGUGCAUUGUGAAUCCCAAAAACUUUAGCGUUUUUCAGCAUCUAUUAUCACAUAAUCCUUUCCCCACCCAUGGAAUUAUAUACUAAACUGUUUUUGUAGAUGUUGAUGUUCUGUAGAACAGAGUUUUGGGGUCUGUAUGACUUAAGAUCCUUCUACAAUGGAACACAGUGAGGAGGGUAUUCAGAGGAGUCAUAGAGGGCAUUGAUCUUGCAAUAUAUACUCAGGAAAUUACCAUGGGCAGAAUAAAAUGCUUUUGAAAAUAUUUAAUGUUUGCUUGGCAUUGUUUCUCUUGGGUUUAGCUUUGCAAAAUUUUCCUCAGGUAUCAUUUUUCUUGUUGCCAUGGAGCCAAUUCACUUCCCAAGGCAAGUUGGUGAUUGGCCUAAGGGAAACUAUUGAGAAAAAAUGGACAGCUCAAGAUGUGGUUUGAAACAUUGAUGUUCUUUCUUGGUGCACUUAACUCUUCUCUCUGCUAUUAUUUUUCUUCUUCACUCUCCUGGAAUCUCCCUCUUUCCCAGUGUAAGUGAGAGUCUAAUAGCUCAUGAUGCAGCUUGGUUUGUUGUGUAUUGAAGUGACCGUAGCUGCAUUUGUUUUGGCAAACCCAUCAUCAUUUGUCUGAGGCAUAACAAUGGCCUCUUUAUUGAUGGUUUAAUCCAGUUCCUGAGGCUGGAUUAAAUAAAUGAGACAAUUGAACCUCAGAUAGGUAAGUGACUUGGCCUUGGUCACCUAGCAAGGCACUGCUAGCCAGACACACAAUCUCACUUAGUAAUUUCUGUCUAGUGCCUCCUACUAGACAGGCCAAGGCCCAGGGCACUGCACUCUGCAUGGGGUGGAAGUAGGGUGUAGCAUUGGAAUGGAGGUAGUGGUAGAAUGCAGUACUUAAAGCCAAGGAGAGAACACUAAAGAAUCCAUAGCCCCAGGAGAAGUAAAGUCAAAGGGAACCAAAAUCCAAAGGCAGUAAUCACCGAGAGGGACUCAGGAGUGAGAGAAAAUUCAUGGACAAGUGGCAGGUCAGAAGCCAGGGAAGUCAGGGCUGCCAGAAAUUUGCAAGCAGCAGGCAGGACCCCUAGUCUUUAUACAACCCUGGUCUUUCUGUAAAAGGCUGGAAAAAAACAGCUUUUUCAAACAUGCUAUAUUCAAAUGUGCCAUAAUUGUUCUGUUUUGAGAAACCAGAAUGGUCUGGCUUUUGUGCAGAAAUAAGGAGAAUAUCAUCCUUUGCUGCUCAAUGAUAAAUGUAUUGCCUGAACCUGAGCCUGGAAGACACUGCCCUACAUGUGCCCAAUGUCUCACAAUGCUUCCUUUGGGCAGUUUAGUUUGGUGUGUGACCUCUGACCUCAAAGUAUCUGAAUAGAAAACAUAACCACACUAGUUCACGCUACCUAUUCCUCUUUCCUCCAAGCAAGUACACUGAAAAUGCUAAGUCCAAACUGUGAAAGAUCUGAGAUAUUACUGUAUUUGCAAGCUACAAAGUUAGCCCUCCACAAUAUGUAUAUAUGCUUAUGUAUAUAUAUUUAUGUGUGUGUGUGCAUGCACACAUGUGUGAGGUGUGUAAUAUAUAUAUAACUUUAUAUCUGACCAAGUUUUGCAUGCCACGUUCUCACAAAGCAACACAAUGAGGGCUUGAUGUCACUGCAUGUGCAGUGGCGUUGGCUCUACAGGAGAAGAGGAACCCUGAAGUUAUAAAGUUUGGAAGUUUAUGGGACAUCCAUCCAUGUUUUCUUCUGGAAAGAGGAAGAAAUAAAUACUUUACUCUUGAAUGGAAAAAAAAAUAUUUUUGUGGAGAAGAGGGGAGGGUUUUUAUUUUGCCACCCUAGACUGUAAACAAACGGUUUCAGGGACAGAAAAAUCCUGAGGUCUCUAUCUUUAGGUUUCAUACUAUGGUCCAAAUAUGUGUGUAUCCUCAAAAUUCAUGCGCUGAAAUCCUAAUCCUAAAGUGACAGUAUUAGAAAGUGGGGCCUUUGGGAGGUGAUUAGAGGAUGAAGGUGGAGGCCUCAUGAAUGGGAUUAGAGUCUUUAUAAAAGGACCUGAAGGAGCUUUUUUACCCUGCCACCAUGUGAGGACACAGUGAGAAGGCACCAUCUAUGAACCAGAAAGCAGAUGCCCUAACCAGACACUGAAUAUGCUGGCGCCUUGAUCUUGGACUCAGCACACAGAACUGUGAGAAAUAAAUUUCUAUUGUUUGUAAGCUACCCAGUCUAUGGUACUUUCUUAUAGCAUCCCAAAUGGACUAAAACAUUUGAUAUUCAGUCAAAUGUUCUUUGUUCAGUGUUGUUUGUUCAUAAAGCUCUGACCAUGAGGAAACAUGAAAAUAUUUGUGGAGCACUGUCUCCCAAUACCAAAACUCAUCGUUUCUCUCUUAAAAAUAAAGGCAUUUCCAGAACAUCAAUAGAUGCUGGGGUAAGUAAAGGAAGGAGAGAAAAAGAAUGAAAAAGGAAUGAAGCUAUUGUACAUAUGAGCAGUGCCUGGGUUCUAGUUAAAUGAGCCUAAAAUGCCUGUUGCUAUCAUGAUAAGUUACACACAUGUCAAUGUGAACUCUCACUAACCAAGGAGAAAACUGAGAUAACUCUUAUUUUCCUCUCUCCCCUCCCCUCCCCUCCCCUCUCCCUCCCUCCCUUCCUUCCUUCUUUCCUUCCUUUUCUCUUUGUUCUUUCUUUCUUUUGAUUUCUUUCUUUUUCUUUCUUUCUUCUUGCUUCUCUAUUUCUUCCUUUCUUUUUCUUUCUUUCUUCUUUCCUUCUCUCUCUAUUUCUUCCUUCUUUCUGCAUCAGAUGGUUAACAAAAUAGACACAGUCUUGGAGCAAGUCUAGAGUGGCACA